CUAAUUUAUGAUCAAUUUGAUUAAACAUGAAGGGAAUACUCAUUAAUGUCUUUCUUUUGCUUGAUGUUUUACUUUCAGUGAAGCUCCUCUUUAUUAUUACAAGCGAAGAAAGUUAUGCUUCCUAUUAAAUGUUUGGUUGUGUUGAUUCUGUCUUGGUAAUGUGCAGGCAGUUAAAAUGUCAAUCUUUCAAGGAAGAGACUGAUGAGGGAUUUCAAGAGGUUACAACAGGAUCCUCCUGCGGGUACUAGUGGUGCUCCUCGAAUUUGUAAUUGAUGUUGUCAAUACAUUUCAGAGGUUUCUUUAUUAAAUAGCUCAAUUCAUGGGUUUCUUCCACAAAAUAGAAGUAGUGCUAUAUUUUACGAGACUAUGGUUUAUUUCGGUAGUGACUUAUGUCUUCUACAUCCGUUUUUUCCUGAUAAUACCUAUGGUGUUGACAAUGGUGGUAACCCACGAGUAAUUUCAAGCCUUUCUUUUGAGGAAUUUAAGGUUGGUAGUCUCUUUCCCAUUAGUUUUGCUUGUUGUUCAAGGAUUGCGAACUUCAAAAUAUUUACAUUACUCAUUAAAAAGAACUUCAAAGCAUUCACAAGGUUUUGUUAUUACAAUCAUACAAUGCUAAUCUUUCUUCAUAACAUGAUUAUGUCAAUUCUUGGAUUCUUCCCAUUGUCGUUUCGUAGUAUUUCCCAAUGUUUCUUGUCAUGCUUGUUGUGAUGGUGUUUAGUUGAAUUUGGAUGUUAGUGAAAGUUGUGGGCCAGAGUUUUUUGUGGUGGUAUUACUUGCUUUAUGUAUACAGAUGCUCCAUUGAUGUAUUAUAACUUAUAAGUGUAUCUUUAUUUUCAACUGCGAACAGAAAACUUAAGCUACUAACUUGUGGUGGCAGAUAAAUCAUAUCUUAUCUAGUUAACUGUCAUCAUCCACCUUCUCCUUUUGAUCCAUUUAAUUGUUUUAGAAACACCUAUGACAACUAAUUGAACCCCUAACCAUGUAAACAAUGAAGUUUUCACACUUGUACUCCAACUGCAUUCAGUAAACAAGUGAUGUUGUGUUUCCAGCACACUCUCAUCACAUACAUAACACUUUCGAUCCUCCAUUGAAAUAUUCAUUUUCUGCAAUCUCUCACAAGUGAGUAGUUGUCAUUGACAUGCCAACCAAGUAAUAAAUCUAUGUUAAGGGAGCUUGACAGAGUUCCAGAUUAGAUAAGCCUCUUUUAAUUUGCAACCUACCAGCAUAUGACAAAAUUUUAUCUUAGGCAGAAUGUAUUCUUGCUAUUAUUUUGUCAACUAAACGGUCUUAGGCUACUUGUUGGCCAAAGUCUUACCUCUCUUUCUCUUUCUCUUUCUGGUAGCUGAUUUGAUGGCACAUCACCUCUUCACUCGUGUCCAUUCCUUCUGAUCAUUUUUAAGACAUUAACCUUCCAUUAGAUUUCGACAACCAAGGGUUUUCCUGGAAGGUUCUGAUGGUGACUUUCACCAAAGUUGAUAUUAUUUAUUUUGGUGUAUCUUUUGUGUUCAUCUAUAAAUGUUAAGUUAAAUUAUUUGAUGAGUUAAGUCCUUAUAUUCGAUGUUGUUACAUUUUGGAAAAAUAUAUUGUUUUGUAACUGAGCCAUAUAUAUAGUUGCAUUGAAGAAUCAAAAAUAAAAGAAGAUGCACAACGAGACAUCUCCAAUUUGAAACUAUGCAUAUCUACUGUAUAGGUUACAGGUUACUGAUGCAUCAAUAUUUCUUAAUUUAUUUCAAGCUACACAUAUUACUUGGUAAUGCUCGCAAAAGGGAGAGUAGUCGUGACUAAUUAACUAACAUGUAUGUCUGCCACUAAGAGUUGAUUCCUUAGCCUCUUAGUGUGACUGGUGUUGUCUGUUCUAUAUAUUUGCAGGAGUUUCACAGAAAAUUUUACCAUCCAAGCAAUGCAAGAAUAUGAUUUUAUGGAGACGAUGACCCACAUGAACGUUUGCGGAUCAUAAGUGGUACUUAUUUGUCUGCCUCUUACAAUUUCAAAUGAACAUGAACAGUGUUAAUUCAUGUGGUUUGCCUAUACUAGGAAUCCUUCUUGAACAAUGCUUUUGCUCGAAUAUUCAUUACUCUUAUGUACAUUUUAGAUGUGUUAAAAGGACAUAUGGAUAUUACAAAAUCGUUGACAUUCCAAUCUCAGAAACUUUACCUACACCUAUCAGAUGCCUUAUUUUAUUUUAAUUGUUUUGCACAUAGCUCAACAACAUAUGGACAUCAUUACACAAAAUUUUAAAAAUUUGGGGGACAUGAAACGUUUUACAUUAUUUAUUUUGGGUAUCAUUUCUAGUACAACCAAGAAGCAUUUGUGACUUCCAAGGUAAUGGAAAACACGUUCCCAAUCUUCUACUUAGUUAUUACGUUCCCCUUUGUUAACUGUGUCCUUGGUUUUUUCCCUCUAUUUUAUCCCAGAUGUUAUUUUGGUAGUGCCAAUCAUCAGACCGUAUGUGUUCAGACAUUGUUUCAAUGUUCAUAUGUUUUUCUUUGAUUUGAGUCGUAUGAAAUUUACGAAAAAAAUAUAAUUGCUAUAUCACAUGUUUUCUUUCUGUACCUUUUUUGGAGCUUAUAUUCAUGUACUUUUCUAACUUUUGUUCUUUGUUCUCGGUUGGUAUUGAACUAUUGUUAUAUUUGGAUGAGUAUUGUAAUUAAAGUUCAUGAAAUAUGUGCUUUGAAUUUAGUUGUAGUACUUGUCUAUUGGUACAUCUAUUUGGCAUGUUUUACUAGUUAUAACUAAACUAAUUUCUUGAGGAGUUUUGAAUCCCUUUUCUUGAUUGAUUUGAUUUUUUUAGAAAAUUUAAAAUUUUCUACGGGCCUUUUAAACUAAUAAAUCUAUGAGUUGAUCAAGUUUUUGAGCUAGACUAAACAUCAUGAGCACUUAAAAUUAUAUUAUGCUUGCCUUCUUAACACUUUGUAUAGAAACAGAGGAUUAGUGGUGAGUUUUCUUCAGACAUGUAAUUUUUAUAUUGCGGAGAGUGUGACUCCACUGUCUUGUUUCAGGUAUGCCUUCUCCUUCUCCUCGUCCUCGUCCUCGUCCUCCGUCUUCUUCUAUUGCAAGCGAGAGUGUGAGGAGAUGUCAAAAAAAUUUCAAUUCUUGGUCACAAUCACUAGAGAGGUUUCUAAUAGGGGAUGACAUUUUUUUAUAGAAAAAAUAUUAAUUUUAAUUUUGUAUCUAGACUAAUUAUAACUCUUUCCUUCCCAACGUCUACCUGUGUUUAUGGAUAUGUGUAUUACAUCAGCAUAUGUAUCAUCUGUUUUGUUUUCAUGUUGUAUGCACCAGUUUUUUUUCUAAAAAAAAUUAUAUAGUAAUUAUUUUCAUAUAAUUUCUUUUAUUGAAAUAAAAUUUUAGCUUUUGGUAGCGUUACUUACAAUCUUAGCUUUGGAAAAUCUUAAUUUUAAUACUUGAUUAGAAACCAUGGGCUGCUAGUGAAUUUGAGUCACAAGAAUGGUCGGGAUAAGAUCCGGAGGUGCAGUUUGAUAGACAGUUUUUUGUUAAAGUUGAACACUUUUCUGUUAAAGUUGCACACUAGAAAUCUGGAAUUUGGAACUGAAAUAUGAAAUCUGGAACCUUUCUGGUACUUUUCUCUGUUUUAAUUAUGUCAAUAUGUUGAUAAAACAACAUUCUUAUGAAGAGAACAAGAUAAAUAACUCAUAGAAUUCUAAGGUAAAUAAUUAAAGGACAGAACAAGAAUUUCUACUUGAUAGCAUGUAUAUGCUGUCAGCUGCUUUGCACGUGAGCUUUUGGGAGCUGUAAAGAUGGAUCAACUACACGAAAAUUUUGUUUGGCGCUUUCUUGAUCUAGUAGUCUAUUUUGUUCACACUAGGAUGUUGUUAUAAGCUUGUUGCCAUUGUUUUAUUCAGGCAAGCUGUUAUAGUGGAAGGCUUGGAGCUACUUCCAAAAUUUAGCAUAUUCGAAGAAUAUUGAUAAGAUGAUCACUACUUGUAGAUAACUAGCUAGCUACACUUGAAAUUCCAAUAACAGAUGGGGUCUCAAGCUUCUUAUAAACUCAUUGAAAACUUGAUGCAUGUGAAUAACUUCAGCUUCUGUAUUUCACAUGCUUUUCUAUUUUUGGCGACUUUCCCGUAUAUCUAAACUGUAAUAUGCAAUCUAGAACUCAAUAAAUCUACAAACUGGAACUGUAAUCUGCAACUUGGAACUGUAAUCUGCAACCUGGAGCUCAAUAAAUCUUCAAACUGGAAUUGAAAUCUAGAAACUGGAAUUGAAAUCUGCAAUCUAGAAUUGAAAUCUGCAAUUUUGAACUCAAAAGAUUUGCAGUCUGCAUUCUGGAACUUUUGUGCAAUGUGGAAUUUGGAACUCUUUGCCUCUUCUAUGAUUGUUGCAAUCUGAUUUGUCGUAAAUUCUAAAUGUGUAGGGAAAUGGAGGUGAUCCAAUUUGAAGGGUCGCUACAAGUCAAUUUGAUCUCAAUUGAAGUGGAUGAUGAAGAGUUUUUUGAACUAUUGUAAAAGUUUGAAUACAUUAUGUUUGAUUUUUGUGAAAUAUAUUCUUUGCUAGAAUAUAAAAUUGAACUAUUGUAAGAGUACUUUUUGAACAAUUGUGUACACAUUUAGAAUAUUGCUUUAUAAAUAUGUGUAAGUACACAAGACGUACUAUCUUUUGAAGUUUAUUGCAAAUAUAUAUAUUUGAAUUACUUAUGAGCCAA
rnacentral:lncRNA from 1 species